AUGGCGACCAUCGGCGUCGUCCUCCUGCUCCUCCUACUCACACCCACACCCUUUCUGGUGGCCGCCAAUUUCUGCGACAACGUCAAGGCAGCCGCCGCCGCCCUCUCCAAGAACGUCUCCUCCUCCCCGGUAAACUUCGCCACCGCCUCCUUUGGCCAGCCCCCCGACGUCGUCUACGCGCUCGCGCUCUGCCGCGCCGGUGACGUCGUCGACGGCUCCGCCUGUGGCGACUGCGUCGCCAACUGGUUCGCUACAGUAAACCAGACGCAGUGCCACAAGUUCCGCUCCAGCUACGGCGACUGUAUUGUCGUCUACAGCGCCGGCGACGACAUCCUACCGCCACCCUCAAAUGCCACGGGAGGAUCCGGUGAGAACACGCUGCCCUUCGAGCAGUGGAACAUCACGAACGUCACCACCGGCGACGUCCCCCUCAUCGUCGGCCCCACCCGCGAGUUGCUGGUCGAGACUGCAGAGAAGGCGGCCAGCACGACGCGGAGCCGGUACGCCACUGGCGUCAUAGACAUGGACAGAGUGACGACCUACCCGAAGGUGUACUCCCAGGCGCAUUGCAUGCCGGACCUGUCCGCCGAUGACUGCUUGGCGUGCCUCCGCCAUCUCCUCGGGAUGGUCAACUCCACCAUGUCCCUGCGCACGGGUGGACAGAUGGGUAUCACGCGGUGCUAUUUCAGGUACGAGGCUUAUCGGUUCUACGGCGCCCAACCCAUGCUGACUGUGCCAUUGCCGCCACCGGCGCUGGCGACCAAACACAGGAGCAUGUUGUGGGCAAUUCUCGCAGUUGUAGUUCCUCUUUCGGCAGCAGCAUUUCUCUUCUUCAUCUGUUACUCUCGUCGGCUCAGAAUCCAAAGAAAAGGAUCAAGACGUGAUUGGAAUUUAGAGGGAGAUCUAGUUUGGCAAGGGAAAACUUCGGAGUUCUCUUUAUUUGACUUUCACCAGCUAGUGGAGGCCACAAACAAUUUUGCAGAAGAAAACAAACUUGGAGAAGGUGGCUUUGGCGCUGUCUACAAGGGCCAACUUCCAGAGGGAUUGGAGAUAGCAGCCAAGAGACUAUCUUCACAUUCUGGACAAGGUUUCAUGGAGUUCAAAAAUGAAGUCCAACUCAUAGCCAAACUCCAGCACAAAAUUUUGGUUAGGCUCUUGGGGUGUUGCUCUCAAGAAGAGGAGAAUAUAUUGGUUUAUGAAUACAUGCCAAAUAGAAGUCUAGAUUUCUUCAUCUUUGACGAGAAUAAAAGAGCUUUAAUUGAUUGGUCAACAUAUCUAGCAAUAAUUGAAGGAGUAGCACAUGGACUUCUUUACCUACAUAAGCACUCUCGUCUGCUUGUCAUACACCGAGAUCUUAAACCAAGCAAUAUUCUCUUGGACUACGAACUGAAUCCAAAAAUUUCAGAUUUUGGGCUAGCAAAAAUACUGAGCUCAAAUGACACCGAAGGAAAUACCACAAGAAGAGUGGUUGGAACAUAUGGCUACAUGGCCCCGGAGUAUGCUUCAAAGGGCAUCUUCUCAAUUAAAUCCGAUGUCUUCAGCUUUGGUGUUGUCAUUUUUGAGAUCCUUAGCGGAAAACAGAAUUCUGGUAACCAACAAUGUGGAGGUUUCAUCAAUCUGCUUGGAUAUGCAUGGCAAUUAUGGGAAGAGGGAAAGUGGGCUGAUCUCAUUGAUGCACCAUUACUACCCGGAAGUCACUCGACAAAGAUGAUGAGAUGCAUUAACAUAGCAUUAUUGUGUGUACAAGAGAAUGCAACUGAUAGACCAACCAUGGGAGAUAUUGUUUCAAUGCUAAGCAAUGAAACCAUGAUCUUGGAUGAGCCUAAGCACCCAGCAUAUAUCAAUGUAAGGGUGGGAAAUGAAGAGGCAUCCACAGCUCUUGAGCCAUGCAAUACUAAAGAUAUGACCAUAUCUGCGACAGUUCCUAGAUAG
rnacentral:rRNA from 1 species